GAGCCAUUAGCUCAGUCGGCAGAGCAUCUGACUUUUAAUCAGAGGGUCGGAGGUUCGAAUCCUCCAUGGCUCACCA
rnacentral:tRNA from 1 species